rnacentral:rRNA from 1 species
UAAUACAGAGGGUGCGAGCGUUAAUCGGAAUUACUGGGCGUAAAGCGCACGUAGGCGGCUUGGUAUGUCGGGUGUGAAAUCCCCGGGCUCAACCUGGGAACUGCAUCCGAAACUGCCUUGCUCGAGUAUGGGAGAGGGAAGCGGAAUUUCCGGUGUAGCGGUGAAAUGCGUAGAUAUCGGAAGGAACAUCAGUGGCGAAGGCGGCUUCCUGGACCAAUACUGACGCUCAGGUGCGAAAGCGUGGGGAGCAAACAGGAUUAGAUACCCUGGUAGUCCACGCCCUAAACGAUGACAACUGGAUGUCGGGAGGGUUUGCCUUCCGGUGUCGUAGCUAACGCGUUAAGUUGUCCGCCUGGGAAGUACGGCCGCAAGGUUGAAACUUAAAUGAAUUGACGG